GACGGAGGAUGCAAGUGUUAUCCGAAUCACUGGGCGUAAAGCGUCUGUAGGUGGUUCGAAAAGUCCACUGUUAAAAAUUGAGGCUUAACUUCAAAGAUGCCGUGGAAACUUUCAAGCUAGAGUAUGGUAGGGGUAGAGGGAAUUUCCAGUGGAGCGGUGAAAUGCGUAGAUAUUGGAAAGACCACCGAUGGCGAAGGCACUCUACUGGGCCACUACUGACACUGAGAGACGAAAGCUAGGGGAGCAAAUGGG
rnacentral:rRNA from 1 species